rnacentral:lncRNA from 1 species
UUUUAUCGGACCACAGAUAAAUUAUCACGUUGUGAUUGGUUAAACGCCGUCACGUGGUGACCCCCUAUGAGACUGUAGGGGGUUAGUAAGUUUCAUAGGGGGUUCAUGACGCGUUAAUGGUGACGUCAUCUAUUGCUGUUGUUGUGGUUCAUUGUUUAUUUUUCAACAAAACGCAGCAGAAAAAGUCCAGCGUCCGAUAAAUUCGUUAUACGGUUAACUACUGACCCCCUACGGGUCCAUAGAGGGUGAAUAAAAUUCAUAGGGGAUUCGGCCUCCGGCC